rnacentral:rRNA from 1 species
AAGGAUCAUUAUCGUUAAACCGAGGCGCGAGGGCUGUCGCUGACCUUCCCCGGUCGUGCACGCCCGAGCCCUCUCACAAUCCAUCUCACCCCUUGUGCAUCACCGCGUGGGUCUCCCUUUGCCGGAGGGCCCGCGUCUUUACACAAAACUCGAUACAGUGUAGAAUGUUUUAUUUUCGCGCUCGCACGCGAUCAAUAAUACAACUUUCAACAACGGAUCUCUUGGCUCUCGCAUCGAUGAAGAACGCAGCGAAAUGCGAUACGUAAUGUGAAUUGCAGAAUUCAGUGAAUCAUCGAAUCUUUGAACGCACCUUGCGCCCCUUGGCAUUCCGAGGGGCACACCCGUUUGAGUGUCGUGAAAUCUUCAAAAUCCCUCUCUUUUGAGGAUUUUUGGACUUGGAGGUUCGAUGCUCGCUUUCGCCUUUUAGAAAGCGAGCUCCUCUCAAAUGAAUCAGUGGGGUCUGCUUUGCCGGUCCUUGACGUGAUAAGAUGUUUUCUACGUUUUGGAUUCGACAUCGUCCCGCUUCCAAUCGUCCCAUGGACAAAGGAUGGUGCUCCGGUCGCGGCCGGGACCCAUCGAAAAAAACCUUGA